GAUGAACGCUAGCUACAGGCUUAACACAUGCAAGUCGAGGGGAAACGACAUCGAAAGCUUGCUUUUGAUGGGCGUCGACCGGCGCACGGGUGAGUAACGCGUAUCCAACCUGCCCACCACUUGGGGAUAACCUUGCGAAAGUAAGACUAAUACCCAAUGAUAUCUCUAGAAGACAUCUGAAAGAGAUUAAAGAUUUAUCGGUGAUGGAUGGGGAUGCGUCUGAUUAGCUUGUUGGCGGGGUAACGGCCCACCAAGGCAACGAUCAGUAGGGGUUCUGAGAGGAAGGUCCCCCACAUUGGAACUGAGACACGGUCCAAACUCCUACGGGAGGCAGCAGUGAGGAAUAUUGGUCAAUGGACGAGAGUCUGAACCAGCCAAGUAGCGUGCAGGAAGACGGCCCUAUGGGUUGUAAACUGCUUUUAUAAGGGAAUAAAGUGAGUCUCGUGAGACUUUUUGCAUGUACCUUAUGAAUAAGGACCGGCUAAUUCCGUG
rnacentral:rRNA from 1 species